AUUGAACGCUGGCGGCAGGCUUAACACAUGCAAGUCGAACGAGUGGCGGACGGGUGAGUAAUGCUUGGGAAUCUGGCUUAUGGAGGGGGAUAACGACGGGAAACUGUCGCUAAUACCGCGUACCAUAGGAUGAGCCCAAGUGGGAUUAGGUAGUUGGUGGGGUAAUGGCCUACCAAGCCGACGAUCUCUAGCUGGUCUGAGAGGGUGAACCGCCAAAUUUGGACUUGGACAAGGGCCAGACUCCUACGGGAGGCAGCAGUUGGGAAUCUUCCGCAAUGGACGGAAGUCUGACGGAGCAACGCCGCGUGAGUGAUGACAGCCUUCGGGUUGUAAAGCUCUUUUAAUCGGGAGACGGUACCGGAAUAGAAAGCCACGGCUAACUACGUGCCAGCAGCCGCGGUAAUAC
rnacentral:rRNA from 1 species